AUUGAACGCUGGCGGCAGGCCUAACACAUGCAAGUCGAGCGGAGCGGCGGACGGGUGAGUACUGCCUAGGAAUCUGCCUGGUAGUGGGGGAUAACGUCCGGAAACGGGCGCUCAUACCGCAUACUAUCAGAUGAGCCUAGGUCGGAUUAGCUAGUUGGUGGGGGAAAGGCCUACCAAGGCGACGAUCCUUAACUGGUCUGAGAGGAUGAUCAGUCAAACUGGAACUGAGACACAGUCCAGACUCCUACGGUAGUCAGCAGUGGUGAAUAUUGGACAAUUGGCGAAAGCCUGAUCCAGCCAUGCCGCGUGUGUGAAGAAGGUCUUCGGAUUUUAAAGCACUUUAAGUUGUGAGGCGUUACCAACAGAAUAAGCACCGGCUAACUUCGUGCCAGCAGCCGCGGUAAUUC
rnacentral:rRNA from 1 species